UCUGUCUGUCUCCGUUUCUGUCUCUCUAUCUGUCUGUCUCUCUAUCACUCUCUGUCUCUGUCUCUCUGACUCUGUCCCUAUGUCUGUCUCUCUGUCUCUGUCUGUCUGUCUCGCUGUCCCUUUGUCUGUCUCUCUGUCUCUGUCUGUCUCUAACUCUGUCUGUCUGUGUCUGUCUGUCUGACUCUCUGUCUCUAACUCUGUCUGUGUCUGUCUGUCUGACACUGUCUCUCUGUUUGUCUCUCUAUCUCUGUCUCUGUCUCUCUCUCGGACUGUCUCUCUGUCUGUCUCUCUGUGAAGUAAAGAUAAUUAGAAGUGAAGAUAAUUAGAGAAAACAAAAAUACCGCGUCUUGAAUAAAACCAACAAUAAACAAUCGCAAGGUUGCACUGACGUCCUGUGGCCUCUGGGUGGCGCCAGAGCAUCUGAGUGCCUCAGUGUGCAAAUCUGAGCGUCGCAUUUUAAUGUUUAUGUGAAUUUGCAUCUCUGUGUGCCUCAUUAUGCAAAUCUGUGCGAGUUCCCUGGGUCCUAGUUAAAAUCUCUGUGAGUUACCUGAGGGCCUCAUUUAAAUGGUGGAGCACCAGAGCAACCCUCUCAGUGUGAAGCCCAGAGACAAAACAGAAAUCAAUUCAAAGAUGUUUCCUUUCAAAAAUUCAAGAAAGAAUUUCAAAAAAAUUCCCCUGCAUCCUAACGAGUUUCCAAGGUGCUGAUUUAAACCUAUACAAGUUCCCUGGUAAAAACCCGGGUGUGGUGGCUGAGAGAAACCAAGUCUGCCCCAAAGCCACCAGGCCUCUAAUCCCUACCUACCCUCCAGAGACAGAGCCAGGUGGAUCUCUGAGUCCGAGAAACCCUUUCUCUAAAAACCUAAAAAUAAAAAUUAAAAAUAAAAUUAAAACUGAAAAGAGAUCAGAAAAAAAAAAUGAAUGCCAAAUCAAAAAAAAUCUCAAAUAUGGCAGUGACGUUCUAUCUCCACGAGCUUUGCGGGUUCUAAUUUAAACCUGCACGAGUUUCUCUGCAUCCUAAUUUAAAACUGUCUCUCUGUCUCUCUGUAUGUCUCGGUUUUUUUGUCUUGUCUGUCUCUCUGUCUGUCUCCCUGUCUCUCUGACUGUCUCUCUGUCUGUCUCUGUCUCUCUGUGAAGUGAAGAUAAUUAGAGAAAACAAAAAUACCUCGUCUUGAAGAAAACCAACAAUAAAAAAAUCGCAAGGUUGCA
rnacentral:lncRNA from 1 species